rnacentral:rRNA from 1 species
GUGGGGAAUCUUCCGCAAUGGACGAAAGUCUGAACCAGCCAUGCCGCGUGGAGGAUGAAGGUCCUCUGGAUUGUAAACUUCUUUUAUAUGGGACGAAAAUGGGGCUUUCUAGCUCAACUGACGGUACCAUAUGAAUAAGCACCGGCUAACUCCGUGCCAGCAGCCGCGGUAAUACGGAGGGUGCAAGCGUUAUCCGGAUUCACUGGGUUUAAAGGGUGCGUAGGUGGAUUGGUAAGUCAGAGGUGAAAUCUCCGGGCUCAACUCGGAAACUGCCUUUGAUACUAUCAAUCUUGAAUAUUGUGGAGGUUAGCGGAAUAUGUCAUGUAGCGGUGAAAUGCUUAGAUAUGACAUAGAACACCAAUUGCGAAGGCAGCUGGCUACACAUAUAUUGACACUGAGGCACGAAAGCGUGGGGAUCAAACAGGAUUAGAAACCCUUGUAGUCC